GACGAACGCUGGCGGCGUGCCUAAUACAUGCAAGUCGAACGCUUUUUCUUUCACCGGAGCUUGCUCCACCGAAAGAAAAAGAGUGGCGAACGGGCGAGUAACACGUGGGUAACCUGCCCAUCAGAAGGGGAAAACACUUGGAAACCGGUGCUAAUACCGUAUAACACUAUUUUCCGCAUGGAAGAAAAUUGAAAUGCGCUUUUGCGUACCUGAUGGAUGGAACCGCGGUGCAUUAGCUAGUCGGUGAGGUAACGGCUCACCAAGGCAACGAUGCAUAGCCGACCUGAGAGGGUGAUCGGCCACACUGGGACUGAGACACGGCCCAGACUCCUACGGGGGGUAGCAGUAGGGAAUCUUCGGCAAUGGACGAAAGUCUGACCGAGCAACGCCGCGUGAGUGAAGAAGGUUUUCGGAUCGUAAAACUCUGUUGUUAGAGAAGAACAAGGAUGAGAGUAAAACGUUCAUCCCUUGACGGUAUCUAACCAGAAAGCCACGGCUAACUACGUGCCAGCCGCCGCCGUAA
rnacentral:rRNA from 1 species